GACAGAGGGUGCAAGCGUUGUUCGGAAUUACUGGGCGUAAAGGGCUCGUAGGCGGCCCACUAAGUCAGAUGUGAAAUCCCCAGGCUUAACCUGGGAACUGCAUCUGAUACUGGAUGGCUUGAAUUCGGGAGAGGGAUGCAGAAUUCCAGGUGUAGCGGUGAAAUGCGUAGAUAUCUGGAGGAAUACCGGUGGCGAAGGCGGCAUCCUGGACCGACAUUGACGCUGAGGAGCGAAAGCUAGGGGAGCAAACGGG
rnacentral:rRNA from 1 species